rnacentral:rRNA from 1 species
GCACAAGCGGUGGAUGAUGUGGAUUAAUUCGAUGCAACGCGAAAACCUUACCUACCCUUGACAUGUCCGGAAUCCCGAAGAGAUUUGGGAGUGCUCGCAAGAGAACCGGAACACAGGUGCUGCAUGGCUGUCGUCAGCUCGUGUCGUGAGAUGUUGGGUUAAGUCCCGCAACGAGCGCAACCCUUGUCAUUAGUUGCCAUCAUUUGGUUGGGCACUCUAAUGAGACUGCCGGUGACAAACCGGAGGAAGGUGGGGAUGACGUCAAGUCCUCAUGGCCCUUAUGGGUAGGGCUUCACACGUCAUACAAUGGUCGGUACAGAGGGUUGCCAACCCGCGAGGGGGAGCUAAUCCCACAAAGCCGAUCGUAGUCCGGAUCGCAGUCUGCAGCUCGACUGCGUGAAGUCGGAAUCGCUAGUAAUCGUGGAUCAGCAUGUCACGGUGAAUACGUUCCCGGGUCUU